UACGAAGGGGGCUAGCGUUGCUCGGAAUUACUGGGCGUAAAGCGCACGUAGGCGGAUUGUUAAGUCGGGGGUGAAAUCCUGGAGCUCAACUCCAGAACUGCCUUCGAAACUGGCGAUCUUGAGUCCGGGAGAGGUGAGUGGAACUGCGAGUGUAGAGGUGAAAUUCGUAGAUAUUAGGAAGAACACCAGUGGCGAAGGCGGCUCACUGGCCCGGAACUGACGCUGAGGUACGAAAGCGUGGGGAGCAAACAGG
rnacentral:rRNA from 1 species